GCCAAACUCCCGAAUACCAGUGAGUACUAUCCGGGAGGCACACGGCGGGGUGCUAACGUCCGUCGUGAAAAGGGAAACAACCCAGACCGCCAGCUAAGGUCCCCAAUCAUGGCUAAGUGGGGAAACGAUGUGGGAAGGCAUAGACAGCUAGGAGGUUGGCUUAGAAGCAGCCAUCCUUUAAAGAAAGCGUAAUAGCUCACUAGUCGAGUCGGCCUGCGCGGAAGAUCCAACGGGGCUCAAGCCAUGAACCGAAGCUGCGGAUGCAUCUUAUGAUGCGUGGUAGAGGAGCGUUCUGUACGCCUGUGAAGCUCGAUUGAGGAAGUCGGGUGGAGGUAUCAGAAGUGCGAAUGCUGACAUAAGUAACGACAAGGGGAGUGAAAAACUCCCCCCGCCGGAAGACCAAGGG
rnacentral:rRNA from 1 species